rnacentral:rRNA from 1 species
GAUGAACGCUAGCGGCAGGCCUAAUACAUGCAAGUCGAACGGGAUCCAGAUCAAAGCUUGCUUUGGUCUGGUGAGAGUGGCGCACGGGUGCGUAACGCGUGAGCAACCUACCCUUGUCAGGGGGAUAGCCCGGCGAAAGUCGGAUUAAUACCGCAUGACAUCAUUGAGAGGCAUCUUUCGAUGAUCAAAGAUUUAUCGGACAAGGAUGGGCUCGCGUGACAUUAGCUAGUUGGUAAGGUAACGGCUUACCAAGGCUGCGAUGUCUAGGGGCUCUGAGAGGAGAAUCCCCCACACUGGUACUGAGACACGGACCAGACUCCUACGGGAGGCAGCAGUAAGGAAUAUUGGUCAAUGGACGGAAGUCUGAACCAGCCAUGCCGCGUGCAGGAGGACGGCCCUAUGGGUUGUAAACUGCCUUUAUACGGGAACAAACGUCGGUACGUGUACCGGUCUGAGUGUACCGUAAGAAUAAGGAUCGGCUAACUCCGUG